UCUGCACUGGGAGCAGCUCUCCUGCCACAGCCCCUCACCCCCUGAAAAUGUAUGCCUGCUCCAAGUUCAUUUCCACUAUCUCCUUGGUCAAGAGCACUUCACUGCUGCUGGGCCAUCCACUAUCUGCAGUGGUGUUGAAAUGACCAGAGACAAUGACAGAUGAGAGUCUCAGCAGCUUGGCAGUCUCACAUCCCCUUACCUCACUUGUCUCUAGCCACAGCUUCCAAACCAGCGCCAUUUCAAGGGACAUCAACAGAGCAGCCAAGUUCAUUGGGGCUGGGGCUACCAUAGUUGGGGUGGCUGGCACUGGGGCUGGAAUUGGGACUGUGUGUGGGAGCCUCCUCAUUGGUUAUGCCAGGAACCCUUCUCUGAAGCAACAGCUCUUCUUCUAUGCCAUUCUGGGCUUUGCCCUCUGGGAGGCCUUGGGGCUCUUUUGCCUGAUGGUGGCCUUUCUCGUCCUCUUCCCUAUGUGA